rnacentral:rRNA from 1 species
UUCUUUACUUAGCGGCGGACGGGUGAGUAACACGUGGGCAACCUACCCUAUGGAGGGGAAUAACAGGGAGAAAUCUUUGCUAAUACCGCAUAGAUCCAAAGUUUUGCAUAAAGCUUUGGAGAAAGGAGAAAUCCGCCAUAGGAUGGGCCCGCGUCCCAUUAGCUAGUUGGUGAGAUAACAGCCCACCAAGGCGACGAUGGGUAGCCGACCUGAGAGGGUGAACGGCCACAUUGGAACUGAGACACGGUCCAGACUCCUACGGGAGGCAGCAGUGGGGAAUAUUGCACAAUGGGGGGAACCCUGAUGCAGCAACGCCGCGUGAGCGAUGAAGGUCUUCGGAUUGUAAGGCUCUGUCUUCGCUGACGAUAAUGACGGUAAGCGAGGAGGAAGCCACGGCUAACUACGUGCCAGCAGCCGCGGUAAUACGUAGGUGGCGAGCGUUGUCCGGAAUUACUGGGCGUAAAGGGUGCGUAGGCGGUUUUUUAAGUGGGAUGUGAAAUCCUGAGGCUUAACUUCAGAAUUGCAUUCCAAACUGGAAGGCUAGAGUACAGGAGAGGAAAGCGGAAUUCCCAGUGUAGCGGUGAAAUGCGUAGAGAUUGGGAGGAACACCAGUGGCGAAGGCGGCUUUCUGGACUGUAACUGACGCUGAGGCACGAAAGCGUGGGGAGCAAACAGGAUUAGAUACCCUGGUAGUCCACGC